UCUUGGCUCAUUUAGAGGAAGUAAAAGUCGUAACAAGGUUUCGGUAGGUGAACCUGCGGAAGGAUCAUUAACGAAUAACUAUGGUGUCUUGGUUGUCGCUGGCUCCUCGGAGCAUCGUGCACGCCCGCCAUUUUUAUCUAUCCACCUGUGCACCGAAUGUAGGUCUGGAUGACUCUCGCCUUCGGGCGGAUGCGAGGUUUGCGUGCGAGCGCUCUCCUCGAAUUUCCAGGCUCUACGUCUCUUUACACACCCCAAACGUAUGAUGCAGAAUGUAGUCAAUGGGCCUUUACAAGCCUAUAAAACACUAUACAACUUUCAGCAACGGAUCUCUUGGCUCUCGCAUCGAUGAAGAACGCAGCGAAAUGCGAUAAGUAAUGUGAAUUGCAGAAUUCAGUGAAUCAUCGAAUCUUUGAACGCACCUUGCGCUCCUUGGUAUUCCGAGGAGCAUGCCUGUUUGAGUGUCAUUAAAUUCUCAACCUCACCGGUUUUCUGAACCGUUCUCCGAGGCUUGGAUGUGGGGGUCUGUGCAGGUCGCCUCAGCGCGGUCUGCUCCCCUGAAACGCAUUAGCGAGAUUCAUUCUGGACCUCCGUCUAUCGGUGUGAUAAUUAUCUACGUCGUUGACUUGGUUCGGACUCGCUUCUAACCGUCCGCGAGGACAACAUUACUUGACAAUUUGACCUCAAAUCAGGUAGGACUACCCGCUGAACUUAAGCAUAUCAUAG
rnacentral:rRNA from 1 species